rnacentral:tRNA from 1 species
GGGCCAGUAGCUCAGUGGUAGAGCAAUUGCCUCUUAAGCAAUUUGUCGUGGGUCCGAUCCCCACCUGGCCCUCCA